GAUGAACGCUGGCGGCGUGCCUAAUACAUGCAAGUCGAGCGAACAGACGAGGCGCUUGCUCCUCUGACGUUAGCGGCGGACGGGUGAGUAACACGUGGAUAACCUACCUAUAAGACUGGGAUAACUUCGGGAAACCGGAGCUAAUACCGGAUAAUAUAUUGAACCGCAUGGUUCAAUAGUGAAAGUCGGUUUUGCUGUCACUUAUAGCUGGAUCCGCGCCGCAUUAGCUAGUUGGUAAGGUAACGGCUUACCAAGGCAACGAGGCGUAGCCGACCGGAGAGGGUGAUCGGCCACCUGGGAGCUUAGCCACGGUCCAGACGCCUACGGGAGGCAGCAGUAGGGAAUCUGACGCAAUGGGCGAAAGCUUGACGGAGCAACGGCGCGUGAGUGAUGAAGGUCUUCGGAUCGUAAAACUGUGUUAUUAGGGAAGAACAAAUGUGUAAGUAACUAUGCACGUCUUGACGGUACCUAAUCAGAAAGCCACGGCUAACUACGUG
rnacentral:rRNA from 1 species